rnacentral:rRNA from 1 species
UGCCAGCCGCCGCGGUAAUACGGAGGGUGCAAGCGUUGCUCGGAAUUACUGGGCGUAAAGCGUACGCAGGCGGCGCAGUAGGUCGGGUGUGAAAGCCCAGGGCUCAACCCUGGAACUGCAUUCGAAACCCCUGUGCUUGAGAGCGGGAGAGGAGAGCGGAAUUCCUGGUGUAGAGGUGAAAUUCGUAGAUAUCAGGAGGAACACCAGCGGCGAAAGCGGCUCUCUGGCCCGAUUCUGACGCUCAUGUACGAAAGCGUGGGGAGCAAACAGGAUUAGAUA